UACAGUGGCCGUGCAGCUGGUUCGGCCGCCCGCCCGGGCGGCCGUCGUAAGAGGGAAUCCGGUGCGAAUCCGGGACUGCCCCGCAGCGGUGAGUGGGAACGACCGCCGUCACACGCACUGAGCCGAAAGGCUUGGGAAGCGACGGCCAGUAGGAACGAGCUGUACGCCCGCGAGUCCGAAGACCUGCCCGCUGUGCGCCUCACGA
rnacentral:ncRNA from 2 species